GACGAACGCUGGCGGCGUGCUUAACACAUGCAAGUCGAACGGAAAGGCCCUGCUUUUGUGGGGUGCUCGAGUGGCGAACGGGUGAGUAACACGUGAGUAACCUGCCCUUGACUUUGGGAUAACUUCAGGAAACUGGGGCUAAUACCGGAUAGGAGCUCCUGCUGCAUGGUGGGGGUUGGAAAGUUUCGGCGGUUGGGGAUGGACUCGCGGCUUAUCAGCUUGUUGGUGGGGGAGGGGCUUACCAAGGCUUUGACGGGUAGCCGGCCUGAGAGGGUGACCGGCGUCAAUGGGCCUGCGGGACGGCCCAGACUCGUACGGUAGGCAGUGGUGGGGAAUCUUGCCCAACGGGCGGACGCCUGAUGCAGCAGCCCUGCGUGCGGGAUGCCGGCCUGUGGGUUGUGAACCGCUUUCGCCUGUGACGAAGCGUGAGUGACGGUAAUGGGUAAAGAAGCACCGGCUAACUACGUG
rnacentral:rRNA from 1 species